rnacentral:rRNA from 1 species
CAAAACUUUCAACAACGGAUCUCUUGGUUCCCGCAUCGAUGAAGAACGCAGCGAAACGCGAUAGUUAAUGUGAAUUGCAGAAUUCAGUGAAUCAUCGAGUCUUUGAACGCACAUUGCGCCCAUUGGUAUUCCUUUGGGCAUGUCUGUUUGAGC